GGGCAUCCUCUCGGAGCACUGGAUGAUUUGUGACAAAUACAAUUCAUCAACCUGACUGUGGAUCUCUGCAGCUCCCCAGCCAAGAGACCCAGUUACCGUGGUCGUCUUGGCUGCUUCUCUGAUUAAUGCUCUUCUUUCCCACCUCGACAGUUCAGAGAGGCUAGGGAAGCCUGUGACUCACCCACCCUGUCAAUCACCCUCCAUGUGCGCUGGCCCCGUCAGGCUGGAGGUGAGCACCGCUGACAGACUUCAAGCAACUAUCUCAAGGACAUCAGAGGGUAUUGUGACACAGGCACGCUACGCCUUUGAAAACCUCUCCUACCACUUAGAAUCUCCUUAUGCUGGCAAAAUAGAUACAGAA